CUGUUGUAACUGCCUUGAUCUCGUCCUUUUUCUUCAGGAUGGUGUAGAUUGUUGACGUGCUUCAAUCGUAUUGACGUGCCAUGUCCACUACACGCACUCCUCUCUCUUGCCAGUGGAAUACUUGCUCAGGAGUUA